UCCUCGGUAGUAUAGUGGUCCGGUAUUUCCGCCUGUCACGCGGGAGACCGGGGUUCGAUUCCCCGCAGGGGAG
rnacentral:tRNA from 1 species